rnacentral:rRNA from 1 species
ACUGCUAUGGGGGUCCGACUAAGCCAUGCGAGUCAUGGGGCGCCUUGCGCGCACCGGCGGACGGCUCAGUAACACGUCGGUAACCUACCCUCGGGAGGGGGAUAACCCCGGGAAACUGGGGCUAAUCCCCCAUAGGCCUGAGGUACUGGAAGGUCCUCAGGCCGAAAGGGGCUUCGGCCCGCCCGAGGAUGGGCCGGCGGCCGAUUAGGUAGUUGGUGGGGUAACGGCCCACCAAGCCGAAGAUCGGUACGGGCCAUGAGAGUGGGAGCCCGGAGAUGGACACUGAGACACGGGUCCAGGCCCUACGGGGCGCAGCAGGCGCGAAACCUCCGCAAUGCGGGAAACCGCGACGGGGGGACCCCCAGUGCCGUGGCAUCGCCACGGCUUUUCCGGAGUGUAAAAAGCUCCGGGAAUAAGGGCUGGGCAAGGCCGGUGGCAGCCGCCGCGGUAAUACCGGCGGCCCGAGUGGUGGCCGCUAUUAUUGGGCCUAAAGCGUCCGUAGCCGGGCCCGUAAGUCCCUGGCGAAAUCCCACGGCUCAACCGUGGGGCUUGCUGGGGAUACUGCGGGCCUUGGGACCGGGAGAGGCCGGGGGUACCCCUGGGGUAGGGGUGAAAUCCUAUAAUCCCAGGGGGACCGCCAGUGGCGAAGGCGCCCGGCUGGAACGGGUCCGACGGUGAGGGACGAAGGCCAGGGGAGCGAACCGGAUUAGAUACCCGGGUAGUCCUGGCUGUAAAGGAUGCGGGCUAGGUGUCGGGCGAGCUUCGAGCUCGCCCGGUGCCGAAGGGAAGCCGUUAAGCCCGCCGCCUGGGGAGUACGGCCGCAAGGCUGAAACUUAAAGGAAUUGGCGGGGGAGCACUAC